AACGAACGCUGGCGGCAGGCUUAACACAUGCAAGUCGAACGCAUCCUUCGGGGUGAGUGGCAGACGGGUGAGUAACGCGUGGGAACGUGCCCUUCAGUUCGGAAUAACCCAGGGAAACUUGGGCUAAUACCGGAUACGUGCGAGAGCAGAAAGAUUUAUCGCUGAAGGAUCGGCCCGCGUCUGAUUAGCUAGUUGGUGAGGUAAUGGCUCACCAAGGCGACGAUCAGUAGCUGGUCUGAGAGGAUGAUCAGCCACAUUGGGACUGAGACACGGCCCAAACUCCUACGGGAGGCAGCAGUGGGGAAUAUUGGACAAUGGGCGCAAGCCUGAUCCAGCCAUGCCGCGUGAGUGAUGACGGCCUUAGGGUUGUAAAGCUCUUUCGUCCGGGACGAUAAUGACGGUACCGGAAGAAGAAGCCCCGGCUAACUUCGUGCCAGCCGCCGCGGUAACAC
rnacentral:rRNA from 1 species